rnacentral:tRNA from 1 species
GUUCUUAUAGUUGAAAUACAACGAUGAUUUUUCAUGUCAUUAGUCAUGGUUAAAU